rnacentral:rRNA from 1 species
CAAUAGCGUAUAUUAAAGUUGUUGCAGUUAAAAAGCUCGUAGUUGGAUUUGUGGCGUACGGUGUGUUCCGGGCACUUGUUGUCUGAGUAACCUGCAGUUGCCAUCCUUGGGUGGAACCUGUGUGGCAUUAGGUUGUCGUGCAGGGGAUGCCCAUCAUUUACUGUGAAAAAAUUAGAGUGUUCAAAGCAGGCUUAUGCCGUUGAAUAUAUUAGCAUGGAAUAAUGAGAUAGGACUUUUUUGCUAUUUUGUUGGUUUGCGCAAAGAGGUAAUGAUUAAUAGGGACAGUUGGGGGUAUUCGUAUUCCAUUGUCAGAGGUGAAAUUCUUGGAUUUUUGGAAGACGAACUACUGCGAAAGCAUUUACCAAGGAUGUUUUCAUUAA